UUUUUGUUUUUGUUUUGUUUUUUUAAAGGCUUGAUUUGAGUGGUUAGAUAAUAAAAGGACCAAUUCUAGGGGAUUCAAAGGGCCUCAUGGUGCACAAGAGGAAGGUUAGCCCAAGAUGUGCUUCACAGAAGAGGCAGUUCUGGUGGACUUUGAGGCCUUUUAAAUGUGAUCAAAGAUGUGUUUGGGCCCAGUACACUCUGCCUUGAAGUAGUCCCUUUGCCCACCACAGCUGUGGGCUUCCUCAGCCCAAACUAUUGACCACCAGCAAAGCAAAGACAUUCAUCCAUGAAGUCUACUGGAAUCUUCCUAAAGCAAUGAUCUACAGGGAUUUAUAAUGGUGCAAUGUAGUGUAACUCAUAAUUAGGAAUGACAAGUUAUUAUGUAUUUGUGAACCUAAUAUUCUGGGGUAGAGCUCAUCUAACAAAAAUGAUUUAAAAACAUAAAGAAUCAAUAUUUAUUAAUAAGUGGUAACGAUUUAUUAAUAAGUGGCAUUUUAGGAUCUUAGGUAUUUUACCUCCUUGGACCAUUAUGAUAAUUAUGUGAGAUAGGUAUCAUUUUAUAUGCUUUAAGGUAAGGAUUAUAUUGCUCAGAAAAGUUAAGAAGCAUGCACAAGGCAUCAAGAAUACAGAGAAAACAUAGCACUAAAGAAAAUAUGAUAUUUUUAUUUAAAAUACAAGACACCAAUAUACUUUGAAAUACUACCCAUUAGCAUGAGGAUAUAUUAUAUGCUAAAACUAGUUAAAACUUCACUUCUUAUUUUGAUUAAAGCUAUGUCAGCAAGUUAUGAAUCUUGACUUUAUCUCUUAUUACUGUUAAUUUAUAAACAUUUCCUAUGUCUUUUCCAUAUCAUGAUGUUCUAACUCAGCAAUCCUAAAGAGAUCUUUUUCUUUCAUUUAUAUUUAAGCAGGUAUAUAGUUUUCGAAGUAUCUCACAAAAAGGAGUGCACCCAGAAAACAACAGGAUUCAUCAGAAGGUCCAGCAUAAUUUCUUUGUCAUAAUUAAUUAGUCUUAGCACAAUCAUUCAUUCAACAUAUGCAUUUAUUGGUCCAGGUCUUACACAGGGACUGGGGAUAAAAGAUAAGUAAAAUAUGGGUCUACACUCAAGAAGAUCCCUGGGUAAAAGGGGAGCUAUAGUAGCAAAUUAUUAUUAUAACACGUUUUGAUAGAUGCUAGAAAAUGUACCUGCAUUGGGGUGUAAAGCAGCCUGGAGGAUGUGUGUGUAGCUGAGGAUUCCAUCCGAGUGACUGAUGCCUGAAUUCUGAAGGAGGGAUUAGAGCUCUCCCGGUGGACAUGGUGGGGGUGCAUGCAUCAAGCACAGGAACAUAACAUAGCAAUAUAUCUAAGUGCCUUAAACAUACGGUGUGAGUUUAGGAGUGGGGCAAGAUGGACAGAGAACAUUGAUGGGGUCCCAGUUGUGAAGUCUUGGUAGUGCAGGCUAUGCAAUUUAAAUUCUGACAUUUAUGUAAAGGCCGUCCAGGGUACAAAUCUAAUAUUGAGAGGCCAAAAACUCUAAAAAUGCCAGUCACACGCAUUACCCCUUCUAAGCAAAACAACCCGUGGUUAUUCCUUCUGGAUUCCAUGCCUUUGAUUGGGAGACUGCAAGCUUGACAAUGAGAAACAACAAGAAUUGGUGUCUGACCCAAAUAUUGGACAUGAGAAAGCCCACUGGCCUAUAAGGUAGAUAAGAUGGAGAAUUUAGGAGUGGAGGAAGGAAUACAUUUAAGAGGCAUAUAUGAAUUGGAAUGGAGGGCUCUGUUGACCAGAUGGAUGUGGAUGAGGAAGAAGAAGCACCUUAGGGACGACUGCUAAGUUUCCAGCUACAGUGGCUGAUGAGGCAGAUAAUUUAAGGAGUAAACACAAGAAGAGGAAGAGAUGUCAGAAGAGAUAGACAGUCAGAGAGGCCUUGAGUUAAGAAAUGGAAAUGAAAGAGCUGUGUGUUGUGAAGAGAGUAGUCAUAUUUUCCAAAUGAAAGAUUGGUUUAUGACUGCCCAAUGUGCAGGGGGGUUUUGUGUGUGUGAGAAAAUAAGGCAAGUAUUUCAACUUGGGUUAUUGCUACAGCUAUGAAGUGCUGUGUUCUUUAAGUUAAAUACCAAGAUCAAAGUUCAGUUUUAUGGUUAAAAAUAUCAAUUUAUAAUGUGCUAUUUCAUACAUACUAAUUUAAAAUGCAUGAGAUUAAACCAUAUAUCAUCUACUCUCCUCUCCAUCCUAUUAGAUGUGUGAAAAGUUAUCACAAAACUUAACUUAAAAGAGCCCCUUCAGAUACCCUAGAGCCUACAGAUUGAGGAAAGUUGGCCAUGCCUACUAGAAAAUUUUUUUUUUGAAAUAUCCUGAUCCUCUUACUAUUUUGUUCACAUUCCAGUUAACCCUGGCUCUACCUUGCCUUGCUCCUUGGACAUUUGGCUUCUAGGCUAUACCUGGCUUGUCUCCAGGGACCAGCCAUAGGUUCAUCUAUUGCUGAUGUCCACUCACUGCUACCCUCUUGAUUAGCACUUGCAUUGUGCCCAAACCACUGGGGUUACCAGUUGGCUCCAGAUUUCCACUGGUUUUGAUUCACUGUGUAAAGUCAAACCCUUUCUCCAAAAUGGCAAAGAUAUAAAAAAGGGAUAUAAUCGUGGUGAUAUGAUGACAGACAGUGACCAUACUGAAAGGGGUGAGCACUGAAUAAUGUAUAGAAUUGUCAAAUCACAAUGUCAUACACCAGAGACUAAUCUAACAUUGUAUGUCACCCACGGUUCCAUAAUAAAAGAAAAUAUUUUAAAGAUAUAACCUGUAGCUACACCUCCUGUAGGAGGCAAUAUAGCUUAGCAAUUCAAGACAGGGGUAUAAUGUCAGAAAAAAAACUGGGUUCAAAUUCCUGAUCUGCCAUUUCUGAUGUUAAGAUCUUGAACAGAUUACCUUAAUUGUUCCCUCCCUAUGCUUUGUCUAUAACAGGGAUAAUAGAUGCUAGCCUCAAAGCCUUCUAGCUUUGAGGUACAAAUAUAAUAAUACAAUAUGUGUACAGUAAUGAGCUUGGUAUCUGACAGAAGGUAAAAGUUCAAAGUUUCUUCUCUUUCUCUUCUGCUUUCUCAUUAUUAUGAAUUCUCCAUAACAUUCUUAUUGCCAGUGCAAAUUCUGUCCAUUUGCCAUCUUACAAAGCACCAUCUCAGAAAUGAGAUCCUUAGCCUUCAAUUAGAAGUUCUUGCCUUAAAAUAUCUGUAAUGUUCUCAUCCUCUUUGAAUAUCUUUGUAUAUAUUCAUUUGUUUUCAGGGAUUAAUAACUAAAUGGGACACCAAUACUUGGAUUCCAAACUCACUAGUCACCUUUGCUGUCCUAUUUCAAUGUUAGUAGAUGUUGUGAACUAUUUAGAGCAGUCAGGGAACUGAGUUUUUUUCUCUGAAAGGUAUUUGUUGCACACAGAAAGAGAAAAGGAAAUUCUAAAAGAAAAGAACUUUGAGAUCUAAGAUCCAAAGGAGUUUAUUAUAAACAACUGAGAGUGUUAAAAAAAAAUAAAAGAAACAUUUAAAAGAGGUCAAAAAAGUACCUCGACAGAACCCUUUUCAUUUAUAUUCUUUCACGUAAAAUAUCACAUAUUCAAAAUGUUCCUAUUAAUUUUCAUAUGCUGCCCUCGCUCAGCAUGUUUGACUAUUUCCCUUCAUAAUGUUUUGGCACAAAAAUGUAAAUAACAUUGUGCUUCACCUUCCCAAGUCCUCACAGUCCGUUUUCUGGGCAAUCGCAGGAAGACUACACUAACAGUCAGAAAUGGUGCACAUUCUGCUGGUUGAAAUCCAAAAGUAGUUUUUAAAAAAGUUUUCUGUCACAACUUGUUCUGGGGAGUUUGUUCCCUGCCAACUAAAAACUAUGAUUUUCAGGAGAGUA
rnacentral:lncRNA from 1 species